GGUGGGGUAACGGCUCACCUAGGCGACGAUCCCUAGCUGGUCUGAGAGGAUGACCAGCCACACUGGAACUGAGACACGGUCCAGACUCCUACGGGAGGCAGCAGUGGGGAAUAUUGCACAAUGGGCGCAAGCCUGAUGCAGCCAUGCCGCGUGUAUGAAGAAGGCCUUCGGGUUGUAAAGUACUUUCAGCGGGGAGGAAGGGAGUAAAGUUAAUACCUUUGCUCAUUGACGUUACCCGCAGAAGAAGCACCGGCUAACUCCGUGCCAGCAGCCGCGGUAAUACGGAGGGUGCAAGCGUUAAUCGGAAUUACUGGGCGUAAAGCGCACGCAGGCGGUUUGUUAAGUCAGAUGUGAAAUCCCCGGGCUCAACCUGGGAACUGCAUCUGAUACUGGCAAGCUUGAGUCUCGUAGAGGGGGGUAGAAUUCCAGGUGUAGCGGUGAAAUGCGUAGAGAUCUGGAGGAAUACCGGUGGCGAAGGCGGCCCCCUGACGAAGACUACGUCAGUCAAAGCG
rnacentral:rRNA from 2 species